rnacentral:rRNA from 1 species
UGUCUCUCUUGAGUGGAUCCUGAGUACGACGGAGCACGUGAAAUUCCGUCGGAAUCUGGGAGGACCAUCUCCUAAGGCUAAAUACUCUCUAGUGACCGAUAGUGAACCAGUACCGUGAGGGAAAGGUGAAAAGCACCCCGGAAGGGGAGUGAAAUAGAACCUGAAACCGUGUGCUUACAAGUAGUCAGAGCCCGUUAAUGGGUGAUGGCGUGCCUUUUGUAGAAUGAACCGGCGAGUUACGAUUUGAUGCAAGGUUAAGCAGUAAAUGUGGAGCCGUAGCGAAAGCGAGUCUGAAUAGGGCGUUUAGUAUUUGGUCGUAGACCCGAAACCAGGUGAUCUACCCUUGGUCAGGUUGAAGUUCAGGUAACACUGAAUGGAGGACCGAACCGACUUACGUUGAAAAGUGAGCGGAUGAACUGAGGGUAGCGGAGAAAUUCCAAUCGAACCUGGAGAUAGCUGGUUCUCUCCGAAAUAGCUUUAGGGCUAGCCUCAAGUGAUGAUUAUUGGAGGUAGAGCACUGUUUGGACGAGGGGCCCCUCUCGGGUUACCGAAUUCAGACAAACUCCGAAUGCCAAUUAAUUUAACUUGGGAGUCAGAACAUGGGUGAUAAGGUCCGUGUUCGAAAGGGAAACAGCCCAGACCACCAGCUAAGGUCCCAAAAUAUAUGUUAAGUGGAAAAGGAUGUGGCGUUGCCCAGACAACUAGGAUGUUGGCUUAGAAGCAGCCAUCAUUUAAAGAGUGCGUAAUAGCUCACUAGUCGAGUGACACUGCGCCGAAAAUGUACCGGGGCUAAACAUAUUACCGAAGCUGUGGAUUGUCCUUUGGACAAUGGUAGGAGAGCGUUCUAAGGGCGUUGAAGCAUGAUCGUAAGGACAUGUGGAGCGCUUAGAAGUGAGAAUGCCGGUGUGAGUAGCGAAAGACGGGUGAGAAUCCCGUCCACCGAUUGACUAAGGUUUCCAGAGGAAGGCUCGUCCGCUCUGGGUUAGUCGGGUCCUAAGCUGAGGCCGACAGGCGUAGGCGAUGGAUAACAGGUUGAUAUUCCUGUACCACCUAUA